GCUGGGCAUGGUGGCGCGUGCCUGUAAUCCCAGCUACUCAGGAGGCUGAGGCAGGAGAAUUGCCUGAACCCGGGAGGCGGAGGUUGUGGUGAGCUGAGAUCGCGCCAUUGCACUCCAGCCUGGGUAACAAGAGGGAAACUCUGUGUCAAAAAAAAAAAAAAAAAAAGACCAUCUAGCAUACUGUUUAUUUUGUUUUUUGAAACAUAGUCUCCUUCUGUCACCCAGGCUGGUGUACAGUGGCAUGAUCUCGGCUCACUGCAACCUCUGCCUCCUGGGUUCAAGCAAUUCUCCUGCCUCA
rnacentral:SRP_RNA from 1 species